CAACACACUGCAGAAGACGGGUUGUCCAACAGGCGCUGUAUAUGGUUGCAGCUGCAUAAGUACACCAGCUCUGUUAAGGGCCAGCACUCAUUACGAGAAAUGGAGAUUGUGGAAGCAAUAAAUUUUGGAGCAGACCUUAGCAGCGACUGCAGCUAUACAUCAAUCCCCACCACGUCGACAGUGCACCAUCCACAUCGUCAAUUUUUCAGAUCGCUACACUCUUGAAAAUCCUAGGACAUACGCGUGCUGGGGAAGCUGUGCUGAUCCUCUGCCUCCUAGAAUUUUGCCGACUUCUUCUGGAAGCGCAGUGUUCGCCAAAACACCUCGCACUGGACGUGGCUUUUCAGGCAUCUCAAUCUAUGAUCUCUGUGAUAACGCCACAAUGGUUGCCUCUGAGCAAAUGACUGUCGUGUUCAAGGUGCCAUAUGACUUGAAUUUCAAGGCAAACGAGUAUGCACUAGGAGUCUUUGACGUCAACCAGAAGUUUAAUAAAUAUGUCUUUGAACAUAUGGAUAAGGAAAUGACAGUGACUAAAGGCCAAGCAAAGGGCCCCUCUCUGAUUCACAAGAGCCAGAGUGUUACUAUGAGAGCCACAAUGUCAGAUUGUAUUGAUCCUGUCAUAAAGGUGCAUGUAAGUGACAACUAACAGCCAUAAUAUUUAUUUGGAUUUUACUUGAAUAUGAGCAAUAAAGUGGUGAUUGUGA